rnacentral:rRNA from 1 species
CACGUAGUUAGCCGGGGCUUCUUAGUCAGGUACCGUCAUUAUCUUCCCUGCUGAUAGAGCUUUACAUACCGAAAUACUUCUUCACUCACGCGGCGUCGCUGCAUCAGGGUUCCCCCCAUUGUGCAAUAUUCCCCACUGCUGCCUCCCGUAGGAGUCUGGGCCGUGUCUCGGUCCCAAUGUGGCCGUUCACUCUCUCAAGCCGGCUACUGAUCGUCGCCUUGGUAAGCCGUUACCUUACCAACCAGCUAAUCAGACGCGGGUCCAUCCCAUAGCGAUAAAUCUUUCAAAACAGGACCAUGCGGUCCCGCUUUCCCAUGCGGUAUUAGCAGCCGUUUCCAGCUGUUCGUCCCCCUCUAUGGGGCAGGUUACCCACGCGUUACUCACCCGUCCGCCACUCAGUCAUCCCAUAUGCUUCCCUUCCCCAGCCAAGCUGGUUCUGUCUGGCGGGUGGAUGUCUUCGUUCGUACUUGCAUUCGUGUUCGGCUACCGGCCGCCAGGUCCGUUCACUCCGUGACCG